AUAAUAGUUGACUUUUACUGAAAAAAUGAGGCUAAUCGGUGAAGGUCCAAAAUUUGCCUUACCCGUUCUUACGCGGACAGCCUCUUACAUGCAAUAUGUGUUUCUUUGUGUCCUUGUCAGUUCUUUAAACAUGCAAGCCAAAUAUUUUAAAGCAUGGAGAGGCUUGUAUACGCGUUGCUUUGUAGCGGUGUACAUUGCUAUAGGAGCGUAUUUUAGGUUUAAUUGCAUUUGGUCCAUAUUACUUACAAAACUAUGGCGGUGUAGGGGUUUUGUGCAGUUCAUGGAUACAGUUUGUACUCGUUACAUGACAUUGUAUUCACCCCGAGGGUAUGGGUCCUAGCCAUUAUUCCAACAUGGCGCCGAACUUUUCUUCGGGAGUUGUGGACCUUUAUGCCGCUUGCGUGGUAGUUAUGGACGUUUUGUGGGAACCAGGAAGCUAAAUUAAAGUACACUGCAGAAAUGUCAUUCCAUUCUGAAUCCACCUACGUCUGUACCUGCAUGUGUUAGGAGAGAUUCUGGUAGUAAAGACGUGGAACAGCAAAAUGGCUUAAUUUCAAAGUCGUGCAGUAGAUAAUGAAGCAAGUACUGACCAGAGUCUUCUUGGGCCUGACCUGUGGCAUUGCUAUAACUUGAACUUAACAGGCAGGUUGUUAGAGACAUAGAUCACAGGAUCAAGGACUGGGGACCCAGGACAGAGGACCCAGGACAGAGGACCCAGGACAGAGGACCCAGGACAGAGGACCC